UGAUUGGAACCAGCUGCGGACGGGUGAUAACCCAUGUUUUCCCGGGGGAUAAGACUGGGAUAACUCCGGGAAACCGGGGCUAAUACCGGAUAUUAAUUUGGUUCAUAUGAACCCCUUUGGAAAUGUGGCGCACCCAACCACUUACAGAUGGGCCCGCGGUGCAUUGCCUACUUGGGGAAGUAACGGCUCCCCAAGGCAACGAUGCAUCACCCACCUGAGAAGGUGAUCGGCCACACUGCGACUGAGACACGGCCCAGAGUCCUACAGGAGGCAACGGUAGGGAACCUUCCCCAAUGGACCAAAGUCUGACGGAACAGCGCCGCGUGAACAAAGAACGUUUUCGGAUCGUAAAGUUCUGUUGUUAGGGAACAAGUUGUACAUGUUCGAAUAGGGCGGUACCUUGACGGUACCUAUCGAGGAAGCCCCGGCUAACUACCUGCCGGUGGCCGCGUUAAU
rnacentral:rRNA from 1 species